CCCAUCGUGAGGUGGGAUCUGAAGGAAGCUGAAGGCAAAAUGCUGGCCUGACGAACCCGAUAGAACGGCUGUGGAAGGUGGUGAACGAAGAGGUACGAAAUAACCGUUACUUCGCUACUGCAAAGCCUUCAGGGCAGCAAUAAAUGAUUUUUUU
rfam:Aedes aegypti strain Liverpool supercont1.1561 genomic scaffold, whole genome shotgun sequence.